rnacentral:rRNA from 1 species
GAUGAACGCUGGCGGCGUGCUUAACACAUGCAAGUCGAACGGUGAACACGGAGCUUGCUCUGUUGGAUCAGUGGCGAACGGGUGAGUAACACGUGAGCAACCUGCCCUUGACUUUGGGAUAAGCGCUGGAAACGGCGCCUAAUACUGGAUAUGUGACGUGCCCGCAUGGUCUGCGUUUGGAAAGAUUUUUCGGUUGGGGAUGGGCUCGCGGCUUAUCAGCUUGUUGGUGAGGUAAUGGCUCACCAAGGCGUCGACGGGUAGCCGGCCUGAGAGGGUGACCGGCCACACUGGGAUUGAGACACGGCCCAGACUCCUACGGGAGGCAGCAGUGGGGAAUAUUGCACAAUGGGCGGAAGCCUGAUGCAGCAACGCCGCGUGAGGGAUGACGGCCUUCGGGUUGUAAACCUUUUUUAGCAGGGAAGAAGCGAAAGUGACGGUACCUGCAGAAAAAGCGCCGGCUAACUACGUG